rnacentral:rRNA from 1 species
AGAGUUUGAUCCUGGCUCAGGACGAACGCUGGCGGCGUGCCUAAUACAUGCAAGUAGAACGCUGAAGAGAGGAGCUUGCUCUUCUUGGAUGAGUUGCGAACGGGUGAGUAACGCGUAGGUAACCUGCCUUGUAGCGGGGGAUAACUAUUGGAAACGAUAGCUAAUACCGCAUAACAAUGGGUGACACAUGUCAUUUAUUUGAAAGGGGCAAUUGCUCCACUACAAGAUGGACCUGCGUUGUAUUAGCUAGUAGGUGAGGUAACGGCUCACCUAGGCGACGAUACAUAGCCGACCUGAGAGGGUGGUCGGCCACACUGGGACUGAGACACGGCCCAGACUCCUACGGGAGGCAGCAGUAGGGAAUCUUCGGCAAUGGGGGCAACCCUGACCGAGCAACGCCGCGUGAGUGAAGAAGGUUUUCGGAUCGUAAAGCUCUGUUGUAAGUCAAGAACGAGUGUGAGAGUGGAAAGUUCACACUGUGACGGUAGCUUACCAGAAAGGGACGGCUAACUACGUGCCAGCAGCCGCGGUAAUACGUAGGUCCCGAGCGUUGUCCGGAUUUAUUGGGCGUAAAGCGAGCGCAGGCGGUUUGAUAAGUCUGAAGUUAAAGGCUGUGGCUCAACCAUAGUUCGCUUUGGAAACUGUCAAACUUGAGUGCAGAAGGGGAGAGUGGAACUCCAUGUGUAGCGGUG